GAUGAACGCUGGCGGCGUGCCUAAUACAUGCAAGUCGAGCGAACAGACGAGGAGCUUGCUCCUUUGACGUUAGCGGCGGACAGGUGAGUAACACGUAGGUAACCUACCUAUAAGACUGGGAUAACUUCGGGAAACCGGAGCUAAUACCGGAUAAUAUUUCGAACCGCAUGGUUCGAUAGUGAAAGAUGGCUUUGCUAUCACUUAUAGAUGGACCUGCGCCGUAUUAGCUAGUUGGUAAGGUAACGGCUUACCAAGGCAACGAUACGUAGCCGACCUGAGAGGGUGAUCGGCCACACUGGAACUGAGACACGGUCCAGACUCCUACGGGAGGCAGCAGUAGGGAAUCUUCCGCAAUGGGCGAAAGCCUGACGGAGCAACGCCGCGUGAGUGAUGAAGGUCUUCGGAUCGUAAAACUCUGUUAUUAGGGAAGAACAAACGUGUAAGUAACUGUGCACGUCUUGACGGUACCUAAUCAGAAAGCCACGGCUAACUACGUG
rnacentral:rRNA from 1 species